rnacentral:snoRNA from 1 species
GUCGAUGACGACAAACCACUUACGACGGUCUUAUGACAAUCACCCGAAAA